GUGGUUUAAUUCGAUGCUACGCGAGGAACCUUACCCGGGCUUGAAUUGCAACUGACUGAACCGGAAACGGNUCUUCCUUCGGACAGAUGUGAAGCGAUGCUGCAUGGUUGUCGUCAGCUCGUGCCGUGAGGUGUCGUCUUANGUGCUAUAACGAGCGCAACCCUUAUUGUUAGUUACUAUCAGGUCAUGCUGAGGACUCUAUUGAGACUGCCGUCGUAAGAUGUGAGGAAGGUGGGGAUGACGUCAAAUCAGCACGGCCCUUACGUCCGGGGCUACACACGUGUUACAAUGUGGGGUACAGAAGGGAGCUACACGGCGAGGGGUGCUAAUCUCCAAAGCCACUCUCAGUUCGGAUUGGAGUCUGCAACCCGCCUCCCUGAAGCUGGAUUCGCUAGUAAUCGCGCAUCAGCCACGGCGCGGG
rnacentral:rRNA from 1 species